rnacentral:rRNA from 1 species
UGGGGAAUAUUGCACAAUGGGCGCAAGCCUGAUGCAGCGACGCCGCGUGGGGGAUGACGGCCUUCGGGUUGUAAACUCCUUUCGCUAGGGACGAAGCUUUUUGUGACGGUACCUAGAUAAGAAGCACCGGCUAACUACGUGCCAGCAGCCGCGGUAAUACGUAGGGUGCGAGCGUUGUCCGGAAUUACUGGGCGUAAAGGGCUCGUAGGUGGUUUGUCGCGUCGUCUGUGAAAUUCCGGGGCUUAACUCCGGGCGUGCAGGCGAUACGGGCAUAACUUGAGUACUGUAGGGGUAACUGGAAUUCCUGGUGUAGCGGUGAAAUGCGCAGAUAUCAGGAGGAACACCGAUGGCGAAGGCAGGUUACUGGGCAGUUACUGAAGCUGAGGAGCGAAAGCAUGGGUAGCGAACAGG